UACGUAGGGGGCAAGCGUUGUCCGGAAUCAUUGGGCGUAAAGCGCGCGCAGGCGGCGGUAUAAGCAUGGCGUGAAAGCCCCAGGCUCAACCUGGGAGGGUCGUCGUGGACUGUACCGCUUGAGGGCGAUAGGGGCUGGUGGAAUGCCUGGUGUAGUGGUGAAAUGCGUAGAGAUCAGGCGGAACACCCGUGGCGAAGGCGGCCAGCUGGGUCGUCCCUGACGCUGAGGCGCGAAGGCGUGGGGAGCGAACGGG
rnacentral:rRNA from 1 species